GAUGAACGCUGGCGGCGUGCCUAAUACAUGCAAGUCGAGCGAAGCGGGGACGGGUGAGUAACACGUGGAUAACCUCCUAUAAGACUGGGAUAACUUCGGGAAACCCGAGCUAAACCUGCUACUUCUAGAUGGAUCCGCGCUGCAUUAGCUAGUUGGUAAGGUAACGGCUUACCACGGCAACGAUGCAUAGCCGACCUGCGAGGGUGAUCGGCCACACGGGAACGGAGACACGGUCCAGACUCCUACGGGAGGCAGCAGUAGGGAAUCUUACGCAAUGGGCGAAAGCCUGACGGAGCAACGCCGCGUGAGUGAUGAAGGUCUUCGGGUCGUAAAACUCUGUUAUUAGGGAAGCGGUACCUAAUCAGAAAGCCACGGCUAACUACGUGCCAGCAGCCGCGGUAAUUC
rnacentral:rRNA from 1 species